CCCCCUUCCGAGGGCACCUGAUUGGUUAGUAGAGGACAGCGCUCUGUGUGGCUCCUCGGUGGAGCCGGCUCCCAGCCUGAGAGAAGGGUACAUGAGCUGUGAUGCUGCCAAAUUUCUGUGCCCCUUCAAUGUGGAACAUGUGGUCAUCAAAGAAGAAGAGGUGGGGCCUUAUCUUCACCAAGAUGGGACCUUUGGGGGCUCCAGCAAGGAAAAGAGCUUCGUCUAUCUCUAGACCCCAGUGGCGAAGGGUUUUCAGCACGCGGGCGCCUGAACUGGCUGCGCUCCUAGCUGUAACCAGGUCUCUGCUGCUUUGUGUAUACUACAGGACUGGCUGAAUGGAAACUUCCAGCCACAGGACAUGUGGAGACAAUCAGCCUAGAUAGGUAAGAAAAAUUCAAUUGAGAAGCUAGACUGGAUGAAGAGGACUAGAAGCAGGGUUCCACAGGCUCUUAAGGCAAGUGAUAUAUAACUAAAGUAUUUAGUGUUGCAAAGAGUGGGGCUAAAAGAAAAUAUGCUAACCGCACACCAGGAAAGCAUUGGCUUUUCAGCAAAAUG